rnacentral:rRNA from 1 species
AACGAACGCUGGCGGCAGGCCUAACACAUGCAAGUCGAGCGCACCUUCGGGUGAGCGGCGGACGGGUUAGUAACGCGUGGGAACGUACCCUUCUCUGCGGAAUAGCCUCUGGAAACGGAGAGUAAUACCGCAUACGCCCUUCGGGGGAAAGAUUUAUCGGAGAGGGAUCGGCCCGCGUUAGAUUAGGUAGUUGGUGGGGUAACGGCCUACCAAGCCUACGAUCUAUAGCUGGUUUUAGAGGACGAUCAGCAACACUGGGACUGAGACACGGCCCAGACUCCUACGGGAGGCAGCAGUGGGGAAUCUUGGACGAUGGGCGCAAGCCUGAUCCAGCCAUGCCGCGUGAGUGACGAAGGCCCUAGGGUCGUAAAGCUCUUUCGCCAGGGAUGAUAAUGACAGUACCUGGUAAAGAAACCCCCGGCUAACUCCGU